CUCCGUCGCCGUGCCCGCGUCUGCUGUAUUUCCUGAGGUCCUAGCGUUACUCUUAAUGUCCCGGCGUCUCGCUUUUGCUGGCGGUUUGUUACGCCAGCUGUGAAAUCCCUGGUCUCAACCUAUGAAUAGCCUUUCGGACUGGCGAACUAGAUUCUUGUAGAGGGGGGUAGAAUUCCAGGUGUAGCUGUGAAACGCGUAUAGAUCUGGAGGAAUACCGGUGGCGAAGGCGGCCCCCUGGACAAAUACUGACGCUCAUGCACGAAAGCGUGGGGAGCAAACAGGAUUAGAUACCCCGGUAGUC
rnacentral:rRNA from 1 species